AGUAUCCCCCGACCUUUCACCUCGAGAUUGUCGAUGUCGAUUUCACCGGCUAUUGACAGACAGAGAGGGAUAUGGACGCAGAUCGGAAGCGAAUCUUCACAGGUUUGGCGGUGGCGAUGUUCUUAGGAUCGGUAGUGUACAUGAGGCUUUGGACCAUCGACUUCUCCAUGUCUUCCGGCCAUGCCGAGCUUCUCAGGAAAUGGAGGCAAUUCGACCUUGCGAACGGGAAGGCAAUGGAUGAAUCUGCGGAAUGGCGUCGUAUGUACGACCACGAACACGAUAGAGCUAAUAAAUGUAGAAGUGAUCUAAACAAGCUUAAGGAAUCUUUUAAGAAGGUGGGGGAUGCUGCUAGCUUCGAUCAGAAGCUAACAACAAUGCAAACGGAAAUGACUUGAGAAGAUCCGUAUAUCAUCACAUACAUGCAAGAAACUCUAUCGCUUCGUCUUCAGAACUAAAAUUUUGUCCCAUAUGAUCUACUUGGUUUUGUCCCCCUUAAAAUGUCAAGGUUUUCAGGAAAACUUAGCUCUUCGCACAAAAGUGGAUGCCUUACAGCAAAAGAUAAAGGCCGAGACGUCGAGAUGUGGCUCUCAAUAGAGCUAAUCAACAGACACCGAAUAUAGUAAUAGCAUUGAAUUUGAAUUGAGAGGAGAUUAUUAUUAUGCAAUCUCCACGAGACCAUUGACUUUCUGUUUACUUGUUCAUCUCAACCCAGCUGCUUAUUCCCAUAUUUCACUUCUGAGGAUUGGAUGGAUUGUUAAGACUGAAGUUUCAGCUGGGAUGACAAAGUGGAUAGAGGAAAGAGAAACAUUGAGCUGCAUUGUCGCUCCUCAUAGGCUAAGCAGUGACAAAAAAGGUGGAAAACAACAUGGAAGCUUCUUUUCAUGAAUCAAGUGUAAGUAUAAGGUUAGUUUGUAGAACAAUUUAGAAGAUGGAUAUUGGGUUUACUCUUUUCUUCUCAGUACUCCUUUUAGAAUUCAAAUGAUUUAAUAAUUAAUUUGAAAUCCUGUUCAGAGCAAUUUAGAACGUGGAAAUGAUUUUAAAUCUGGGUUUUUUGGGUAGGAUUUUGAGUCGAUAUUAUGUUUCAGCUAAAGACAAACUUAGAAAUCAAUGAUUAUGGUGUGACGUCACACUAUUAAAUGUA